CAGUAGCCGCGGUAAUACGAAGGGGGCUAGCGUUGCUCGGAAUGACUGGGCGUAAAGGGCGCGUAGGCGGCGGCCAAAGUCAGGCGUGAAAUUCCUGGGCUCAACCUGGGGGCUGCGCUUGAUACUUGGUUGCUUGAGUGGGGAAGAGGGUCGUGGAAUUCCCAGUGUAGAGGUGAAAUUCGUAGAUAUUGGGAAGGAACACCUGUGGCGAAAGCGGCUCACUGGACCAUUUCUGACGCUGAUGCACGAAAGCUAGGGGAGCAAACAGGAUUAGAGACCCGAGUAGUCCCUGUCUCUUAUA
rnacentral:rRNA from 1 species